rnacentral:lncRNA from 10 species
GACCGGAGCUGUUCCUAUUCGGCCAUCUUGGCUCCUCCCUCCAGUGUAUUUUCUCUAGCUGAAUCAGCAGUGACUUUGGAUAUUUCCUCCCAGAGCCAUUAGUAUUCUAGACUCUACUUACAGCUUCAGUGAUUUGGGUUCUGAGGACUUCCAUGGAUUGUUGGAACACAGCAUGAACUGAAGCAAUGUGUACUUGUAGCUUUAGACUGCAGCAAACUUUACCUUGCUUUCCAUCCUUUUCUAUUCAGACUGGUCUUUGUAAACCAAUAAUCUAUCAUUCUCUACCCAGAAAUAUUACAUGUUGGUGCGAAAGUAAUUGUGGUUUUUGUCAUUACUUUCCAUGGCAAAAACCACAAUUACUUUUGCACCAACCUAAAUAGUUCCAGGUUUUUUCUCUUUGGUAAUCAUAACAAAAAUACUUGGGAAAUAAUGUACUAUUCAAAUAUACAAGGUUUGUAUAUUUAUACUAUUUUAUGCUAUAUAUAUUUAUACUAUUGCAAACAUACAACUUUGUAUACUUCUGCUUUCCCGGGAAAUUUACUGACAUAUGACUGAGCCUUUCUUCUUAUUUUUUCGUCAAGUUCUCACUCCUAUUAUAGAUGCACAUGUGACUUGUUGACAAAAAGGGCCAGACUAUUUUCUUUCCAGUUUCUCUAGGUCGCUGGAAACUCUUAUGAGCAGGGCCUUGUUCUGUUUCUCUUUGCAUGCCUAGGUCCUAACAUGGAACCUGGUAUAUGAGAGCUCUACAGGUACUUCUUAAAGUGAAAUGUGACUGCCCUAAGCAAACUUUAGACACAACCAGCUUUGUACAAAGGACACAAAGAGAGCACCUGGACCUUGAACCAGCUCCACCGAAGAUUCUAAUUGUUUGCCAUCCAUUGUCUUUCCCCAUCCCCAUUACCUGUGGAUCUAUUACCCCUGUAUGGAAGCUAUAAAAUCCCAUAGAACAUUUAAGAAUGGCCUGGCGAAUCAAAUUAUUGGCUCCUGUGCCAAUAAGAAAUCCUGUUCAAAAGGAAUAGUUUAGCAAAGCUUCUGCACAUCUAGCUGCUAAGGAAAAAUGGAUGGAAACUAAGACAUGUUUGCUGGGAAAUGGGCAUAGUCAUUUCCUGUAUUCUCACUUAAAUUUUUACAACACCACUUUGAGGUAGAUAUUCUUUCUACCAUUUUAGAUUUGAGAAAAGUAUGGCUUAAAGUGGUUGAGUGACUCAUCCAAAGGGGCACAGCUAGUUAAGCCAAUGUCCUGCUCAAUAAAUAAUCAGGAACACUGACCACAAGCAAGAAGCUGUGAUCAAGAUAGCAUAACCAGAACAAAGUUGAAGGAGGGAGUAAAACUGAGUAUCUUAACAAGCCAGCAGGAAAGCAGAAGCUGAGAUGCUCGGUCCCUGGAAACUGAAUGGAAGAGCAGAGGUGAAAAGUAGGGCUGAGUAAAGCAAAAUGGUUUAACAACUCUACAGUUGAUACUUGUUACUAAGGGCUCUAUAUCUAUUGUUUAUGCUCCUGAUUAAAUUAUCCUUCUUUUUGGAGGCUUAUUAGAGUUUUCUUAUGUUUCACUUAUUAAUAAUCCAAAAAUAGUUAAUGAGACAAUUUGCUAGAAGCCCGAGAGAGACAGCAUAAGACAAAACAGGCAUUGUCUCUGCCCACCAUCCCUGUCCAAUAGUUUAAAGUCUAUUGGGUGUGAGGAUGGCUGGGGUAGGGGGUAAUUAAGUAUAUUCAAUGGAAUUGUGGUAGGCAGACUCUUAAAGUGCCCUCCUAGUGUUCAUGCCUUUGUCUAACUCACUCCCUCUUGCCUAGAUAGGAUCUGUGACUCCACACCAAGAAGUAACAAUCCAGGGGACAAAGUGAGAUAGAAAGAAUGAAGAGAAGGAAAAUAGAGUCAAAGCUAGGUGUCUGAUAUUUUCAUAGUCAGUACUUAAGGAAGACAAAGUGCUGACAUAUCCCAUCAUGAGUGAGGCAAUAAGUGGAUUGAAACACUGAAGGAUAUGAAACCAGAGACUCAAGAUAAGAUGUUUCAGUUUUAUCGACAUGAAUAUUGAAGCAAUUACAAGGGGAGAAGAGGGUGAAUGCUGAUUAUACAAAUUGGGUCAUUCUUGUCAUACUCACCUAAAUCAAAGUCUAAAGGCCAGAGGAAAAAAAGCACCCAGGGCACAUAGCACUGCUCCAAGAAUUGACUUCUCCACAAGCCCAGCUGCUGAAACUACCUGCUGUAACCCGAAGCCCAGUUUCACUUAGUAUCUGCUGAAAUACCUGCUAUAACUAAGACUAGUUUUACCUACCACUGUCACUCACCAGUUAGAGAUAUGCCAGCUUCCAAAAGCUUUUCUAGUGCCAGAGAGAUUUCUUUCAAAAGGAUAUGUAACAUUUCUUUAAAAUAAAUACCCCAACAUUUUCUUUGUUCUUUAGACAUGCUGAUGACUGCCUGAUCUGUAUGUGUGCCCCAAAUUGCAAUUCUGUGAUUCACAAAUAAAAUGUUAAAUUUAGAGAUUUGUCUCUGUAUUCUAUUUUGACCUCAAUAAGAGUAAGAUCAAUAGAAUAAAGAAAAUAGUUGCUCUUUAUAGAGUUUAUUUAUAUUAUAAUUCUCUAACAAUGAGUAGUAAAGGGAGUCAGAGUACUCUGGAUGUGGAAAAUAAUACAAUUUUCUGUAAAACAUGGCAUAAAGAUUAAUAUCUCGAUGUAACAGUGAUAUCAUUGAAUUCAGUGGUCAUAGCAAUUACUUAAAUAAAAUAUUCAUCAAAACAAUUCAACCAGUCAUAAAUACAGACUCACAUAGUUUUCUGCCAUGUAGCAACAGAAAAGUAGGGGAGGGAAUAUUUCGUAUUAUAUGUGCUAUAAAGUCCUGGGGCCAUUGGUAGCUAAUUAUUUCGGACUGUCACUAAUUUUUCAUAUGAUGUUUUUCUUCCUUUAUGUCUUUAUUUGGAUAUAGAGUAUUAAUAAUUACCUUGUUAUUUUAAUAAUUGGUGGUUUUGAUCUUCAAUCUUAAUGAAAUUCUAAAUGUUAUCUCCUCUGGAAAAAAUUGCAACUUGGUAAGAUGAAUGCUCUACAUGUUCAUUUGAUAAAGAAAUUUAAUCAUUUGAUAAAAGAAAUUUAAUCAUUUAAGUGGAUUACUAUAACAAGAAGAUGAGAUUUCUGUCUUAUUAAAAUUUAUUUUUACCCAUACCCCUUGUGAAAUAAAGACAUGUUGGCUCUCUUCUAUGAUGUAUGACAUUUUUCAGGCUAUUCUGAAUAUUUUCAUGACGAACAACAUCAAUGAUAUUACAUUUUUAAUGUAACAGCCCAUACUGAUACAUGGUUAGCUAAAGUUUUGAAAAACAUUACUAAUUUAAAUAAGAAAAUAAAAAAUAAUUACAUUUAGUAAAACAAUAUUAGAGAGCCUGUUUCCCAUAUUAUCUUCCAAUUGCUAGCUCACAACUUGACCCUAGGUGAUUGAUGACUCCUCAAACACUCAGCUAAGGUCUUAUAAAAAUAAUCAAACAAGUUUAACUUAGAGCAUGUGUGAUUUUUCUUCCACUUAGGUUCUUUUAGUUGUUUUAAUAAUAUUGAGACCAACAAAAAGAAAUGUUAAUUGAGAUUUUAUUAUAAGCCAGACACCAUUCAAAGCAAUCACUUAAUUUUUAAAAUAAUCCUAUGAAUUAUACUAUCAUUAUCCACAUUAUAAUACAAAGGAGGAAAUGAAGGCUCUAAAAUUCUUGAUAAAUAGUCUAAGAUUCCACAGUUAUUUAUUGUUAAAGUCCAAAUGUAGAUAUAGACCAUCAUGACCCAGGAUAUUCACAGAAAAUGCAAAACCAUCGGGAGCAGGUUUUUAAAAAUGAACCAGUGAUUUAAUAAAAGCAAUGUUCUCCAGACUACUUCCGGGUUUGGGGCUGGCAGAAUGCUAGGCUAGGAUAGACUAGAAUAGGCUAAGAUGGCAGAGCUGCUAUUCUUUUUUUUUUUUUUUUUUUUUUUUUUUUGAGACGGAGUCUCAGUCUGUUGCCAGGCUGGAGUGCAGUGACGUGAUCUCUGCUCACUGCAACCUCAGCCUCCCAGGUUCAAGUGAUUCUUGUGCCUCAGCCUCCCGAGUAGCUGGGAUUAUAGGCAUGCACCACUACACCCAGCUAACUUUUUUGUAUUUUUAGUAGAGUUGGGAUUUCACUGUGUUGGCCAGGAUGGUCUCAAUCUCCUGACCUUGUGAUCUGCCCUCCUCAACCUCCCAAAGUGUCAGAUUACAGGUAUGAGCCUCUGCGCCUGGUCACAGAAGCUAUUCUUUUUAGUAUAUACAAUGUCCACUCCCUCAAACAAAUGUUCUUUUGACCUUCUCUAUUCUUUUAGAAUCUCUAUAAGGAGUUGCCUUUCUUCAAAAUGCAUGAUCCUAGACACUUGAUUUAGUGAACUUGAGUAAGCAUAUCACUCAUCUGUUACAAGUUCAAGUCUUUACAAACAGAAAUAAGCGCUGUUUAAAACCUUUUAAAAAGCAAAUAAAGAAAUGAUUAUUUCAAAACAACAUUUAAACACGAAAUACAUUGCACAGAAUCUAGGAGGAAGUUAAAUUCAUUUUAAGAUCCAUCACUUGGAAUGUAGGAAAGGUAAAAUCCAAACACAAAAGAAAUGCAAUCGUAAUGAAAUCUUGGAUUCUUAAAAAGCAAAUAUUUGAAAGCUAAUGAAGUAAAAUUAAAAACCACUGAAUUAGUUUAUAAGUAGCUAUUAUCACAAUGGGCUCAUAAAUCAUUCCUAAAAACUAAAUGUCAACAAUAACAAUUAAGAUACAAUCUCCUUGUGCUUGGACUAGAAAUUCAAAUGUUUUCUCAUCAAAAAUUAAAAAUCAAAAAGGGAAUUAAUUUACUAAGAAUGGAGAUAUAAACAGAAUUUGAGAGAAGUAACGUGUUGGAAGAGAUCCAGUAAAUAAUAAAAGCAGACAUAUUAAUAUGCUGUGUGUUCUUUGAACAUCAUAAAUUCCAAAAAAGUAGUUUCAAAUAAAUGUUAUCAAAUGGAAAGCAUCGCUUAUCAUAAAGACAUCUUUGAAGCAUGAUACUCAGAUUCAGUAAGAGAAAGCCACUGGGGAUCUAGUGAAUAUGAUUUCGGAUGUGAGGAGUUAUGAAAUGAAAUAUCCAAACUCUCCUUGAUCUCUUCAGCAAGUCUUUAAUAGCAAAAUGCUCAAUAUGAAUUCCUAAAUAUGUCAUUCAUUAACUUAUCCUUUAAACCCCUUAUCUCUCACCUCAACCUCACAAAAACUAAACAACAAACAUCUGUUUCUUAGCUUAUGUUAAAGAACAAUUUCCCCUUUGGCACCAAAUCAAAAUAUAAUAAAAAUAGUUCACAAUCUUUCUUAAGAACAUACAUUUUCAUAGAAGACUGCUGUCAUAAGUUUCUUUAAUUUGGCAACUUAUUACCAUACAUUUAAUAAUUUAAGUUUGUGUUCAGGAAUGCGAACAUUCUUUUCCUCUUCUCUCUCUUCCUAAAGGCUAUAACUUAAAAUGAAAUAUAAUUGUCUUACUGUUUCCUUGGCUUUAAAAAAUGUGCUGAUCAGACAAAUUGUCAUAGCAUUGCAAAAACAUGGAACAUGCUGGGUACAGCAUGAUUGUUUAUUCUAAAAAUAAACAAAGUCUGUAAUAACAACUUGGGAUAAGUUAGAAUGUCUGUCAUCCUAGCAUCCUCUAUAACCUAAUCUGAAGUAUGUUACUUAUUUUCCUCAUUAAAUAAUCAGGGUUCAUAGAGUCAAAACUUCCACAAAUCUUGUUUUGUUUAGAGAACAAUUGGAAAUUUAUCCAUUUAAAUAACUUUGAUAUAGUCUUAAUAUUCACAGUAAAAACUUUAGCAACUGAAGUUUAAGAAAUAUAUACAUAGUACUCAUUCAUACUUGAGAAAAGGAAAAAGAUAAGAAUGUUAUAGCAAAUUUGUUAUCAAGUUGUCUGAACUGGCUGUACUUUACUGCAUGCACUUAUUACAGAAAGGAGUGGAAAGGAGGGUCACUGAAGUUAUUGAUAUAGCCGGUGAUGCUCAGAUUUCCAUCAAGCUGGUUUUAGUUUCUGAGCUAUCACUACCAGCAGUUCACUCAAUUGUGAUGCUUCAUUUUUAUCACUUGAGAAUGACAGCAUUCGAAAGCUGGAAGAGAAUCUUCCAGAGAUCACUGGGGUCUAUUUAUUUUUUCCACAGGCAAACCAAGACUUAAUGAGAGGUGAAGAGACCUGAAUUUGUAAUCUUGUUCCUCAUGAACAGUCAGUGGCUCCCCUUUGUCUUUAAAAUAAAAUCAAAAUUCCUUAGUUGGAACAUAAGGAUCUUAAUGUUCUGGCCCCUGACUGGCACAUGUGGAAAAUCACCCUGCCCAAGAGGGCUACCCACAGUUACUGCCUGUUCCCUUUCAGUCUGACUGAAAGUUAGGGGAUUUCUCCAGUUAGCUUACAUUUCAUCUUUGUAAGGUUCUCCCAACAUCCCUCUUCUUUCACUGCCCAGACUGAAUGGUAAGUUCAGGACAAUGGGGGCUCAUUCAUGCCUGUAUCCCCAAUGCUUUGAAUACAGCCCAGUCUAUAGUAAAUCCUCAAGAAACAGACCAGCGUGGGCAACACAAUGAGACCCCGUCCCUACAAAAUAAAAUUUUAAAACUUUGAAAAUGUCAUAAUUCUUUCAUAAUGUUCGGUAAACAUACUAACUUUUUCUUAUGAAUAGGUAUAGACUUUCUGCUUUUCCUUUUGAUUGUUCCAAGCUCUAUUCAUCUAUCAUCAGCCAAAAUGUUUCUUCCAGCCUCCACUAACAAUCUUUUUUAGCCAGUCAAUCGAAUUUGGAUGGCCUACUACAAAAAGCAUGAGCUCGACCAUACUACAAUUCCGUCUUCAAGAAAGUAAGGUCAGUUUGGUAGGAUUUGGGCACGGCUGCAUGGGUUCAUAAGUCCCCUAGUCAAGAUCUUCAGCCAUAUUCCCACGGUAGGGCAUUAAUGUUGCUAGACUACCAUGUGUAGUGAGAAGAAAGGCUUAGGAAACAGAGACACGUUUGGUACAGUGCAAGCAGAUAUUUGAGUUCAGAAAUAAGAGUAGUUCAGGCACAUAUAGAGAACACCGAACUAGUGCCUAUAAAAUGACAAUCAGACAAAACAGUAGAUAUGCAUCAAAACAAGUGGGCAAAACAACACAAAACAAAAAACAAUGAGAGAAGGAGCAAACAGAGUCUAAAUCCAGGCAGUUGGUAAUCAGCAUAGCGGUAGGAAAAACAAAAGUAUGGCUAAGUGACAAAAGCAGAUUCAAAGGUACUAAUGACAAAGAAAAAGUGUUGAAAACUGAGAAAGUAGAUUGCUUCAGCUCAUAAACUGUACAUUCACCCCUUGAUGCCAGCAACUGGUCCCCAAGCAUGCCCAUUAGAAGGCUUGGCAUGGCAUGCCAUGCCAUUAAACAGGUACAAUAUUGCUAACAUACUCUUAGUUUAAAAAGAUCUCUAUCAAUUCCUAGUUUAAUAAAAUAUUCAUCUAAUCACAAUUGUUCUGCUUUGUUCGAAGUUAGCUGACUUAAUGCUAUUUUAGAAAGUAGUUUUAGGAUGUAUCAUAAAAUUCAGUUUCAUUUUUUUCUUCUCAUUUGCCCACCCAUCUGUAAAUAUUAGUGCUUCACUUGGUUCUGUUACAUAUUCAAUUACCUCUUCAAAUCUUACUCUGUAAGAGGCUUGUUCUAAUAUGUCCAGUAAGCUAACAGUAUGAUAAGCAUAGUCAUAAAAAAGCACUUCCAGAAAUGAUAAAUUUUAGUUAAUAAAAAUUGUUUUCUAAAGUUUCAGAAUAUGUUGUUCUUAUAAGAGCUAAGUCAAUAUGUUUUUUGGCAUGAGACUAUUAGUAACAAAAAAGCCUUUGAACAUUUUCUGAAUAUACUUUUCUGAAAUAUCUUAUUAUUUUGAAAUAUUGGUAAAAUAAUCCUUUGAGUUAAUACCGAUGCUCCAAGUCCAAGAACAGAAAGUUUUCUAGAUUUAGGACUUUAGAAAGAACGACUUGAAUUUUGUUCAUCAAUGUUGAUUAAAAAUUCAUGAAGGAUUUUAAAGUUGUCUGUAGCUAGUUUUCAUGGAUAUAUUUGGUCUUCAUAGAAGCAUAUGGAAAUGCAUAUUUAAUUUGACAGUAUUUUGCAAAUCAUACCCGCUUCAGAAUAAUUUGCAAAGUAGAAAUGCUUCCAUAUGCUAGAAGAUGGUUUGUCUAUUAUGCUGAGAGUAAAGACAGAGCCAUAUAUUCAACAACAAAAAUUUAAAAAAUACUUUCUUGGGCACUGUAGAUUAUGAAAGUAAAGAAAGAUUAACAGGACAAUGUCCCAGGACUCAAAGAAUUUAGAAUUAAGAUUUCAAUCUAUAAUAAACUUAUUAAGCAACCAUAUAAGACAUGCUAAAAUGAAUUUUCAUAGGGAUCAUUGGGCCCUUAAAAAACAUAGUGCCACAUGGUUAUUUUCUGCCUAAAUUGCCAUGGCUUGUGCGAAAUCUUCUUAAAUCCUGACCAAAGCUGAUUGGAGCAGGGACUGAUAUGGGAGACAAAGCAAGCUAUCUAUACAUGAGUUGGUCAUGAGGACAAUAGAUGCUAGCUCUGGACAAAAGAAUAAUUCCCACCCAAUCAAAUUCUCUCCUCUUGAAGAGCAAAACAGGUGAACAUGGAGAAUAUGGAUCACGUGGUUUAGAAGUUUGUUGUGAGUAAUAUAUUCCAAGUAUUCUUGUGUAGACUGUGAAGUUAGCCUGCCUCAGUGUUGGAAGUACCAGGACUUGGUACCUGGUCUGUGUUGCUGAGGCAGCUCGCAAUGCUGCUUCACACAGCAUGGAUUAUUACAACAAACUUCCACCCUGUCUGCUUGGAAAUCAUAAAAAGCCAGAUGGAUACAUGUAUGUUCUAAACAAGAACACAUGAAAAUGUAGCAAUAGCUCUUCACGAUUAAUAGUAAGAAAAAAAAAUAAAGUCCCUGCAGAUUUCAAAGGUUACUUUAGGGCUAAAACUUGAAGUAAUUAAAACAAGAGCUGAAGCUCUUUGACAAGUUUUACUUUUUAUGCCUGAAAGGUUCAUUGACCCUAUAUAUCUUCAGAGACACUGGACUGCAGUUUUAGAACAGAAAAUAAAUGUUUAGGUUUCAAAGGACUUCAGUGUUCUCAAAUUAAUGACUAUUUCAUCAUUAUCUGAGAGUAGCGAUUUACAAGCAAGAAUAGCUUUAAUGUAUGUUUUUAUACUGAUAAUUACUAUUUUGGCUUUCUUUAAGAUCUAGGAUUACUUCAUCUCUGGAGUUAAAAAAAUACAGAUUAUUUACUGAAUUUAUUUUUAACUGUGCUCGUGCCUCAAUGCAUGUAAGUUAUUUUUAUGAUCACAGCUUAAAUUCCCUACACAAGAAAAUUAUCUGGAGAAUUUCACACAGUAAAAAUUGUCAAGCCAGGAAGAUUUUUUAAAAAAAUCCUUUAAAAAUUAUUGAUCUAAAAUGGUUUCUAAAUGAAAAUAGGUUUAGGUUGUAUGUCAUGAUUCCACAGAUGAGUUUUCUUCAAGUGGUGUGUCUACUUUUGGGUCCCUUACAGUCACCAUUUGAGGACUAAGACUGAUGACAGGUGUAACCCACUUCAAGAGUGUGUUCCCAGAGCGAAGGGAGAGCUUAAAGCAAUCACGAUUUUACCACUGUUUAUAAUGGCUAAAAUAUUGUUGAAAGAUAAAGAACAAUUUUAUGAUAAUGAGGCAGGCUUUAAAAUGUUAAGUCAAUAACUCCAAUUCCAUAAAAAUUCUAAUGAGGAGAAUAAAAAGGAAAAGAUCACUUGGCAUAUUCCUUUAAGAAAUGCCAUUUAAGUAAUUCUUUCUUCUUUUUUAUAUCCCCUUAAAUUUAUGGAACUUCUGAAAUGAAUCUCUCUCACAGGCAACAAUUUUAGUUUUCAAUGUAACAAAGUAAAUUUAUUCACUUAGUUAGUAUUGCAUUCCAUUUUACAGAAGAUUCGUAUCUGUGAGUUUCCCCACCUCCUUGCUCAAGCUCUUCCCAAGCAGCUCUGAGUCAGUCUGCUAUACCUCCGCUGCCCCUACGGCAAAAGCAGUCUGAGAAUUCACCCAGUAAUUAAUCAGAGGCUGCCUUAUGGCACAUAUUCUAAGCUUGGGUUGCCUGUGACUUAAAUCACUUAUUUAACUGGUUAAAAGAUAUAUCUCCAAAUGAAUUAUAACAUUUUAAAAUCGCAGGCAAUAGCCUAUAUUUAUUUUUCAUCUAUGAAAGCUUUUUGCACAAAAAUAUUGGUUGGUUAUGUUUGUUCAUGUCUCUUUAAUAAACUCAGGAUCAUUCUCUUUACAUGAGAAAGUGAAGAUUACCUUAGAAAGAUACCUAUGUGAGAUAAAAUGCAAGUUUUACCAUAUUUAGUUUCUGAGAUAGAAAGAUGUAUGUGUGUGUGUAUGUAUACACACACAUAUACAGACAUAUCCAAAGUCCUUAAUAUCUGAUGACAAAUGAAAAUAUGAAAAAACCACUUAAAUAAAUCAAUUUUAAAGUCAAUGGCAGAAGGUUUGACAGAGAUGCUAUCUUAAAAUAUAGAGCUUAAAAUUAUUUUUAAAAUUUAAUAUAUGAUUUGGAGAAAUAUAGAUUAAAAUUAUAAUAUUCUAAUAAUUAAGAAUAAGGAUAAGGUGUGUUGAUUUUUUGGUAUAUUUCUUGACAAAAUGAUAUGGUAGCAAAAUAUCAUCCCUUUUAUAGUAUACUUAACUUUCUCAGCAUGACCUUAAAGAUAAUUUUUACAUAGAUUUGUGAGGCAUUUAUCAUUUAUCUUGAAUGCCUGAUAUUCCAGUUAUUUCCUUUUGAAGUACAUUGUCAAAUGUCCUCUACUUCACCUGUUAACUGCUCUGACAUAUUAUCAUUAGCCAUGAUUUUGUGAUUCAGGAGUUUUCCAAAUUCACUUGCAUCAUGACAUCCUGAAUCUCCCUUGAAAAAUCUUACUUUAAAAUCAUUUUCAUUAUAUUUUCACUGUAUUAUCUGAUAUUUAUGAUAUUAUAUAAUCAGCAAGAUACUAAGAAUUUGUAGAGUAAUUCAUAGAGAUAGAUGCUGCUACUUGGAAAAUGAUGUUCAGGUAAGGACUAAUUUUACAAGCAGGGAGUUUAUUAGUGAAUAUUUUCCUUAUAUCUUUGGGGACUGAGAUCAUGUUUGAAUAAUGACAAACUCUUGCAAUUUGCAAUCAGAUGAAAAUAAGGGCUAAAAAUUAUGCAAGUGGUAAAGCUGGAAAUAAAAGUUCGUUUCUUCUACACCAGUUGUAUAUUGUUGAAAUAACUGUGGAUGAGAUACUUUUGGGCAAGAGGAUUAAGGACUGAGGUUUUGAGAGAAUCAAUGAAAAGGUGAAAAAGUAAACAUUUUAAAAUACAGAAGAGUUCUCACAUCCAUUGGAGCAGAAGCAAAAGAAAACGGUACCACAGAAGUUUAGAGAUGUGGGAGGCAAAUAUUAAAGACAAAGGAGAUAGCCAAUUAUAUAUGGCUGAGAAGCCAAGAAGUUGUAGCUGGAAAGUCAUCCAUAUUAACACUGGCUAAAUACAGGCUAAACAAGCAGAACAGGUGACUCAGAAGGCCGAGGUCAUAUUUCAACUGGGGAUUCUAUAAAAACUCACUGAGAAAUCUAUUGGUACUGGUCUAUCUCAUUUGAAAGCAUCAGAAGUGUUGUGAAGUCACACAUCUUGCUACUGCGACCUAUGCUUCCUGUUGUCUCAAACUUUGCACAAGAAGGCCUUAUUCUGGUACUAGAUAGGGACUUGAUAAGUAGUAAUUCAGAAGGCAUCAUUAGAAAACUAAAACAGGAUUUAAAUUAUAGAUAAGUUUUGGGCUAUGGCAUUCUCAACUGUUGCCUGGAAAAGCAUAUGGAAGUGAAAUAUAUAAGUCAGUGUUCCCCUGAACAAAUGUGCAAAAGACGAUCUCUUCAUACAAUGUUAACUGUACAGUUGGGACAAGCAUGGUAUAAAGUUAUAAUUUUUUAAGUCUUUUUGCUGAAAUUUCUGGAUGUUUAUUUUUAUUCUUUCUGGGACUUUCCUGGGAAUUGUUUGAUGCAUAUUGUUUUUCUAAUGUUGUUGCCAAAUAGUAACAACUCUUAUUUCUUAACCAUGCACUGAAGUCAGCCAGCCUUUUCAACUGGUUCUUUUUCACCAGCAAAUUACUCUUUACAAUAAAGGAGAUAAUUCAAGCCCUUAAUAAGGCCUUUAAAAUGUCAUCACUGUUUAAAACUUUCAAUCAAAUACCUCUAGCUGAUUAUGGAAAUGUGUUGGCAUGAUUUAAAAUUCAAGUAUUUUUAUCAAAAUUGUCAGUCGGCCCCAUUCUUGCCCAUUCAAAAAAGCUCAGAAGAAAAGUAUCCCAAGGGAAAUGUGCAUUUUAGGAGAAUCUAAUACAAUGGGCACAUGUGGAGGUUUGCUACACCAGCGUGAAGAGUGAGGAACAGCAGGUUUUCAGUAUGUAUGAUUUCACUGGCUCACAUAAAAAAGUAAAUGAUAGAUGGAUUUGUAAUACCUCAUAUUAUCCACUCCUGUUUUCAUAGUAGACUCUCUAUUAACAAAAAAAGAGGGAGGUGGUAUCUUAAAUCGCAAUGUAUGGGCUCUUACAGAAGAAUCCUUUUAAAGGAUUCACAAAGCUUUGAAUCCCCUAAAGUUGAAAGGUUAAAUAGUCCUCUAAAGUGUGCCAUGAGGGUUAACAUUUGUAACUUUUUUUAAAACAUUCAAAAUUUACAAUGUUAUUUAAGCAUGUUUUUAGUGAAACAUUUCAUAUUGUCAAAUUUGUACAAUUAAGAGUAGUUCCCUUCAUAUUUCAGAGCAAUAAUUAACUGUGUAGACUGAAUUAAAGUCUACCUUGAAGUGGGGCAAAAACAUCCAAGAAGUCAUGACCAGUCCUAAUUUAUUGUACAGACAGAGUUUAGAAUAUGACAUUGCAAUGAGCUAAGUUAAUAAUGAACUAGGAAAAGGUUAAAUUCUAGGUGAGAAUAACAGCUUGAGUUAUGAUGCUUAAUGCCGUGCGUUGACUCUGGCCUCUAAUUUAUUCAUUCUCUUUAUGGGCAAAGGGCUCUUGGAAAAGCCUUAGGUCAUAGGUUUUGAACAAUGUCCAAAAUGCAUAUUUAAACAAAAAAGGAAGUGAAAUCUCUUGGUACAGAUGCAAUUUGCUGUUUGCUAAUGGAAACAUCACAUAAAGGACUAUUUCAAAAAUUAUAUACCAAAUAUUAGACUUCUAAAAUGCAAUGUUAUAUAUCUGGGGAUACACUCUCUACACCAGGUGGGUCACCCAUGCUUAUAAUUCCUUUCUUAGACCAGCCUUCAUGAACUGUUAAGCUUUCUGUUUAACCAAGCACUAAGAAUGCCCCCUCAGGUUUCCUUCCAAUUUUCAUCACAUUCUACCUCUUUAUUGAAGGCUUAAACUGCACAAUUAUUGCACUAUCAACAUAUAGUCAAAUUGUCAAAAAGAAGAACACAUAAUUCAAACAUAUAUACUUCAAAAUACUUGUUAAAGAGUGAAUGAGUGGACCAUGAGAAGAAAUGUUAUUUCGAUAUUAUUUAUUUGAAAUAACAUGUU